GAUGAACGCUGGCGGCGUGCCUAAUACAUGCAAGUCGAGCGAACAGACGAGGAGCUUGCUCCUCUGACGUUAGCGGCGGACGGGUGAGUAACACGUGGAUAACCUACCUAUAAGACUGGGAUAACUUCGGGAAACCGGAGCUAAUACCGGAUAAUAUAUUGAACCGCAUGGUUCAAUAGUGAAAGACGGUUUUGCUGUCACUUAUAGAUGGAUCCGCGCCGCAUUAGCUAGUUGGUAAGGUAACGGCUUACCAAGGCAACGAUGCGUAGCCGACCUGAGAGGGUGACCGGCCGGACGGGAACUGAGACGCGGUCCUGACUACUACGGGAGGAAGCAGUAGGGAAUCUUCGGCAAUGGGCGAUAGCCUGACGGAGCAACGCCGCGUGAGUGAUGAAGGUCUUCGGAUCGUAAAACUCUGUUAUUAGAGAAGAACAAUUGUGUAAGUACCUAUGCACGUCUUGACGGUACCUAAUCAGAAAGCCACGGCUAACUACGUG
rnacentral:rRNA from 1 species